rnacentral:misc_RNA from 1 species
AAAGUCGUAACAAGGUUUCCGUAGGUGAACCUGCGGAAGGAUCAUUAAUAAAAAUGGACUUGUCGGCCUUACCGACUAAAAACAAUCCUUAACCCCAUUUCUCUCUGCGUACUUAUUCCAUAAAUUAGUGAAUCUAAGCCAACCCCUUAAGUGCUUAUAAUUCGUUUAGCCUUACCUCCCCGGGUUUCAAAGCAAUAUUUAGUUAUUAGUAGUCGUUAAUCAAGGCUCUAAAGAUUGGAAGUUUAUACUACCGUUUAUCUUUUGCGGGUGACAACUAUUAAUUACCACUAAAAGCUUAGAUAACCCGUGGGCGGAGGCGACAGUCUAGCCAAGGGGUGAUUAGUGAAACUUUUUUUACGACACGAAAAGUAACCUCUUCACGAGGUCUUUUAAAUAAAGAAAAUUGCAAAUUUUAUUAAAACUUUCAACAACGGAUCUCUUGGUUCCG